AACGAACGCUGGCGGCAGGCUUAACACAUGCAAGUCGAGCGCCCCGCAAGGGGAGCGGCAGACGGGUGAGUAACGCGUGGGAAUCUACCCAUCUCUACGGAAUAACGCAUGGAAACGUGUGCUAAUACUGUAUACGUCCUUCGGGAGAAAGAUUUAUCGGAGAUGGAUGAGCCCGCGUUGGAUUAGCUUGUUGGUGGGGUAAAGGCCUACCAAGGCGACGAUCCAUAGCUGGUCGGAGAGGAUGAUCAGCCACACUGGGACUGAGACACGGCCCAGACUCCGACGGGAGGCAGCAGUGGGGAAUAUUGGACAAUGGGCGCAAGCCUGAUCCAGCCAUGCCGCGUGAGUGAUGAAGGCCCUAGGGUUGUAAAGCUCUUUCACCGGUGAAGAUAAUGACGGUAACCGGAGAAGAAGCCCCGGCUAACUUCGUGCCAGCCGCCGCUGUAAUAC
rnacentral:rRNA from 1 species